UACGUAGGGUGCAAGCGUUGUCCGGAAUUAUUGGGCGUAAAGAGCUCGUAGGCGGUCUGUCGCGUCUGCUGUGAAAACUCGGGGCUUAACCCCGGGCCUGCAGUGGGUACGGGCAGACUAGAGUGCGGUAGGGGAGACUGGAAUUCCUGGUGUAGCGGUGAAAUGCGCAGAUAUCAGGAGGAACACCGGUGGCGAAGGCGGGUCUCUGGGCCGACUGACGUGCGUGAGGAGCGAAAGCGUGGGGAGCGAACAGGAUUAGAACCGUACCGUUCGUAGUCCAAGACCA
rnacentral:rRNA from 1 species